UGCGUAGGCGGAAAAUUAAGUCAGUGGUGAAAUCCUGCAGCUCAACUGUAGAACUGUCAUUGAUACUGAUUUUCUUGAAUUUAGUUGAGGUAGGCGGAAUGUGUAAUGUAGCGGUGAAAUGCUUAGAUAUUACACAGAACACCGAUUGCGAAGGCAGCUUACUAAGCUAACAUUGACGCUGAGGCACGAAAGCGUGGGGAGCGAACAGGAUUAGAUACCCCUGGUAGUCC
rnacentral:rRNA from 1 species